rnacentral:tRNA from 1 species
GAAAUAAAAAUCCCCUAAGCUGCUAACUUAGGCUCAAGUAAUAAAAUUAUUUAUAUUUCU